rnacentral:rRNA from 1 species
UACGUAGGGUGCAAGCGUUGUCCGGAAUUAUUGGGCGUAAAGAGCUCGUAGGCGGUCUGUUGCGUCGGCUGUGAAAACCCGGGGCUCAACCCCGGGCCUGCAGCCGAUACGGGCAGACUAGAGUUCGGCAGGGGGAGACUGGAAUUCCUGGUGUAGCGGUGAAAUGCGCAGAUAUCAGGAAGAACACCGGUGGCGAAGGCGGCUCUCUGGGCCUUACCUGACGCUGAGGCGCGAAAGCGUGGGGAGCGAACAGG